rnacentral:rRNA from 1 species
UACAGAGGCCUCAAGCGUUGUUCGGAAUUACUGGGCGUAAAGGGAAUGUAGGUGGUUAGGUAAGUUAGAUGUGAAGGCCCUGGGCUUAACCCGGGAAGUGCAUUUAAUACUGCUUAGCUUGAGUGCGGAAGAGGAAAGCGGAAUUCCAGGUGUAGGGGUGAAAUCCGUAGAUAUCUGGAGGAAUACCGAUGGCGAAGGCAGCUUUCUGGUCCGUAACUGACACUGAGAUUCGAAAGCGUGGGUAGCAAACAGG